rnacentral:rRNA from 1 species
UACGGGGGGGGGCAAGCGUUGUUCGGAAUUACUGGGCGUAAAGGGCGCGUAGGCGGCCCGCUAAGUCGAACGUGAAAUCCCCAGGCUCAACCUGGGAACUGCGUCCGAUACUGGCAGGCUUGAAUCCGGGAGAGGGAUGUGGAAUUCCAGGUGUAGCGGUGAAAUGCGUAGAUAUCUGGAGGAACACCGGUGGCGAAGGCGGCAUCCUGGACCGGUAUUGACGCUGAGGCGCGAAAGCUAGGGGAGCAAACGGG